rnacentral:rRNA from 1 species
UACGAAGGGGGCUAGCGUUGUUCGGAAUUACUGGGCGUAAAGCGCACGUAGGCGGAUUGAUAAGUAAGGGGUGAAAUCCCAGAGCUCAACUCUGGAACUGCCUUUUAAACUGUCGAUCUGGAGCAGAGUAGAGGUGAGUGGAAUUCCGAGUGUAGAGGUGAAAUUCGUAGAUAUUCGGAGGAACACCAGUGGCGAAGGCGGCUCACUGGACUCUUGCUGACGCUGAGGUGCGAAAGCGUGGGGAGCAAACAGG